GACGAACGCUGGCGGCGCGCCUAACACAUGCAAGUCGAACGGAGCUUACAUAGCUUGCUUUUUAGGCUUAUGGGCGAACGGCUGAGUGACGCACGGGUAACCUGCCCUAGAGUGGGCGACCUCUUCUUAGAGACAACUGCUAUUACCGCAACUGCCCACAGCACCGGAUGGUACUGAGGGACAAGGAUUUAUUCUCUUUAAGAUGGACUCGCGUCAUGUUCUCUCGUUGGAGAGGUAACGGCCCGCCGUAGCGACCAUUGGUAGCCAGAAUGAGAGGUUGAACGGACACGUUGAGACUGAAACUCGGCCCAGACUCCUACGGCAGACUCCUAUGGGAGAUAUUGCUCAGUGGGGGAGACCCUGGUGCACCGACCCCACGCGGAGGAACAACGUUUUCGGAUAGUGCUCUCCUGUCGUUAGCUACUAUUAUGAGGGUACAUCACAAGACAGCACCGGCUAACUACGUGCCGGCUACCUCGGUGCCACCUACGGCGCAAGCGCUGUCCUGACUUACUGUGUGUAGAUGUAGGGCGUGCAGCCGGGCAUGCAAGUCAGAUGUGAAAUCUCAGGGCUUAACUCUGAAACUGCAUUUGAAACUGUAUGUCUUGAGUGCCGGAGAGGUAAUCGGAAUUCCUUGUGUAGCGGUGGAAUGCGUAGAUAUAAGGAAGAACACCAGUGGCGAAGGCGGAUUACUGGACGGUAACUGACGGUGAGGCGCGAAAGCGUAGGGAGCGAACAGGAUUAGAUACCCUGGUAGUCCACGCUGUAAACGAUGGAUACUAGGUGUGCGGGGACUGACCCCCUGCGUGCCGCAGUUAACACAAUAAGUAUCCCACCUGGGGAGUACGAUCGCAAGGUUGAAACUCAAAGGAAUUGACGGGGGCCCGCACAAGCGGUGGAUUAUGUGGUUUAAUUCGAAGCAACGCGAAGAACCUUACCAGGUCUUGACAUCCUGCUAACGAAGUAGAGAUACAUUAGGUGCCCUUCGGGGAAAGCAGAGACAGGUGGUGCAUGGUUGUCGUCAGCUCGUGUCGUGAGAUGUUGGGUUAAGUCCCGCAACGAGCGCAACCCCUAUUGUUAGUUGCUACGCAAGAGCACUCUAGCGAGACUGCCGUUGACAAAACGGAGGAAGGUGGGGACGACGUCAAAUCAUCAUGCCCCUUAUGACCUGGGGUACACACGUAAUACAAUGGCGGUCAACAAAGGGAUGCAAAGCCGCGAGGCAGAGCGAACCCCAAAAAGCCGUCCCAGUUCGGAUCGCAGGCUGCAACCCGCCUGCGUGAAGUCGGAAUCGCUAGUAAUCGCGGAUCAGCAUACCACGGUGAAUACGUUCCCGGGCCU
rnacentral:rRNA from 1 species